AAUUCUGCCUUUUUUUUUUUUUUAUAAGAAAAUGUGGGUUUUUUUUGUAAACUGAACAGGUUUGACAGAAACAUUUGGGUUAUGCUUAACACUCCUUUUGCUCUGUGUUGGGCUCUUUUGGUUUGGAGUGACUGCUGAUGGAAAGCUCCUGGAGGAAAGCAGAAUCAGCUGCCCAGGGAGCUGCUGUGCAGGCACUCUGAGCCAAGGGAAGGUCGGAGGGGCUGCAGGUGUGGUGGGGAUGGUGCCACUGGAGUGGUCAUGAGUGAGGCAAGCCCAGCCAGCCCAGCCAGGGACAGCCCAGCUGCAUCCAGAGGGUCAGGAACAAGAGCAGCUGAGGGAGUCUUCAAAUGAGCAGCUCCAAGGCAGCAAGUGGAGCCCAGCCUGGAGGGAUGCAGGAGGUAAGGAAAUAUUCAUAUUCAUUUAAUACUGAAAAAAGAGUGCAGUCACAGUUACUUUAAUAUUUGAUGAAACUGGUCUUGAAGCUUUGCUGUCCUUCCUACUGUGGAGUGGCUUUUGUAUCAUCCAAGUUUUUGUUUUUUAGGCUCAUUGCUGGAAGGUAUCUGAGAGAGGGGCUUGAGACUGUGAGUGAAGAGAAAUGGAUGGAAUUCUCAAAAAUCACCAGUGUGGCAGCUGAAGGCUCGAUUCAUGGAUUUUACUGACUUCAGCUGAUAUCCAUUCCCGUAUAGGAAAUGAUUCUCUUCGAUUCAGUAGAUUUCCAGGUAGGUUGACUUGUCUGAGUCCUUCCAGUUUUUAACCUCUGUGUUUAUUUGGUCAUUUUGCCUGAGGUGUUCAGCAGCUCAGAAUGCUGGAGAUACGUGAUCCCCAGUUAAAGGUUUGCUGUGUCUUUGAAAGCUGCUUUGCUCUCUUCUUCCUUCCUCAGCUGCAUGUAAAACAUUCCCCAGAUGAUGUAGUGCCUCAUUUUGGUGUUUGUGAGCCAGACUGGAACUCACCUGUUUAAAAGGUGGCCCCCUCUUAGGAUGUUAGCAAUAUUUUCUAAAUAAUUGUAGUAGUUAAAGUGCAAGUAC
rnacentral:lncRNA from 1 species